CACACACACACACAUACACACACACACACUCUUGCACACAUUGGAGGCUAGACUGGAGACUGCCUGGAGGCCCUGACGAUGGGAAGUGGACAUUUUGCUCUCACCUGGCCAAGCCCGGUCACUCGACAUUCCUUCUAUAUUAUACCCAUUGCGGGUACAUUCUUAGCCAUGAUAAACAUCUGCUCCAUAAAAGGAACGGCAGUAUCCUCUGAAGUUGUCAAGGAGACUAGAGGGUGCUCCGCAGUCUAAGGUCAAAGUCCUGGAAGGAAGAAGAUAAUUCCAGCCCUUCUCCACAUGAACCCUGGGAGAAUGCAUUCAUUUUUGAGCUGAGGGAAGUAAACCCUGACUUCAUUCUGA